UUCUGGUUAGCUCAGUUGGUAGGGCGCUCUACUGGAGAUGGAAAGGUCCCUGGUUGGAUACAAGGACCAGGCG
rnacentral:tRNA from 1 species